rnacentral:rRNA from 1 species
AGAACGAACGCUGGCGGCAUGCCUAAUACAUGCAAGUCGAACGAAGGCUUCGGCCUUAGUGGCGCACGGGUGCGUAACGCGUGGGAAUCUGCCCCUUGGUUCGGAAUAACAGUUGGAAACGACUGCUAAUACCGGAUGAUGACGAAAGUCCAAAGAUUUAUCGCCAAGGGAUGAGCCCGCGUAGGAUUAGCUAGUUGGUGAGGUAAAGGCUCACCAAGGCGACGAUCCUUAGCUGGUCUGAGAGGAUGAUCAGCCACACUGGGACUGAGACAUGGCCCAGACUCCUACGGGAGCAGCAGUAGGGAAUAUGGACAAUGGGCGCAAGCCUGAUCCAGCAAUGCCGCGUGAGUGAUGAAGGCCUUAGGGUUGUAAAGCUCUUUUACCCGAGAUGAUAAUGACAGUAUCGGAGAAUAAGCCCCGGCUAACUCCGUGCCUGCAGCCG